rnacentral:rRNA from 1 species
UACAGAGGGUGCAAGCGUUGUUCGGAAUUAUUGGGCGUAAAGCGCGUGUAGGCGGCUCUGCAAGUCGGGUGUGAAAGCCCUCAGCUCAACUGAGGAAGUGCGCCCGAAACUGCAUGGCUUGAGUACCGGAGAGGAUGGUGGAAUUCCCGAAGUAGAGGUGAAAUUCGUAGAUAUCGGGAGGAAUACCAGUGGCGAAGGCGCUGUCCUGGACGAAGAUUGACGCUGAGGUGCGAAAGCGUGGGGAGCAAACAGG